UCCUUGGUGACUAUUCUUCUAGUAGAAAAGAAUACUAUCAAGAUGGAUGAGGUCACUGUGACGAUUCUUCAAAAUGAGAUUCUCAGGAGGAAGAACCUGAUUUCGAGCUUAGAUAGUAGUAGCUCAGCUAGGUGGUAGCAGAUGGAGCAGCAAAGGAUCACAAGGUGGAUGAUCCAGAUCCAAGAUAAGGAACCCCAGCA
rnacentral:lncRNA from 1 species